rnacentral:rRNA from 1 species
ACCCUGAAAUCAUUUCGAACUCAAGAGUUGUUAUAAAAUUUAUUAAAAUACUGAACUGUAUAAUAACCGGGAACUUUUUAUAAAUUUUAUUAAAAACUUAAUUAUAUAUGACAUUCAAAAAAAAAAAU